rnacentral:lncRNA from 1 species
UUUGAUCAAGUAGACACACACCCUUGUUUCACAGCAGGUACAACCAUAUCAGAUUCCAUGACUUUGAGUAUGACAUCUUGAAACACUCCUGCAUGAACAUGUUCUUGAACUCCAGCAGGUACAUAGGAUGUCUCACAUAACAUCUUGUGAACACACUUGUUGUAAGUGAAAUAACUAUUAUCUGUUGACCAAUCAGAGCACACUUUCAAUUGUUUAAUAAUUUGAAAUAUUAAACAUUACAUUCUGUAAUACCCCAAAAUUUACCCUUCAUUUUUCCUGAAAAAAAAAA